GUCCACGGCUAUGCCACCCUGAACACGCCCGACCCCGGCUGAUCUCGGAAGCUAAGCAGGGUCGGGCCUGGUUAGUACUUGGAUGGGAGACCACCUAGUAAGACCAGAUGCUGUAGGCG
rnacentral:rRNA from 1 species